rnacentral:lncRNA from 13 species
AUGUUGUUGCGGAGUUGGGACUUCUUAAAUAAACGAUUGUGCCACUGGGACAUCCUUGUUCUCCUGCUCCUGAUUCCUGCACCUCCCUACUUUAAGGAGGCUCUAAACAGUGACAGAAGAGGUCCUGGAAUGACACAACAUCACGCUGCUCAACAGAUGGGGCCCAGACGUACCAGGCCAACAGGACUACCAGGGUGCCUCACUUCAUUCAAUACCAGGCCAACAGGACUACCAGGGUGCCUCACUUCAUUCAGUACCAGGCCAAAAGGACUACCAGGGUGCCUCACUUCAUCCAGUACCAGGCCAACAGGGCUACCAGGGUGUCUCACUUCAUCCAGUAUCAGGCCAACAGGACAACUAGGGUGCCUGGUGGCUCACUUCAUCCAGUACCAGGCCAACAGGACUACCAGGGUGCCUCACUUCAUCCAGUACCAGGCCAACAGGACUACCAGGGUGCCUCACUACAUCCAGUACCAGGCCAACAGGACUACCAGGGUGCCUCACUACAUCCAGUACCAGGCCAACAGGGCUACCAGGGUGAUCACAAUGAGGCAAAAGAAACAGACAUCACACCAGCCAUCCCUAGAGAUGAAACAGACAUCACACCAGCCAUCCAUAGAGAUGAAACAGACAUCACACCAGCCAUCCAUAGAGAUGAAACAGACAUCACACCAGCUAUCCAUAGAGAUACUUCUAUGACUCUGGGAAAUCCAAUUGCUCAACACUGGUAACAUUGUGUCAUCUGUUUGGAGGGGAAAUAUCAAGAAGCUCUCACAUUAGUAUGCGGCCUCCUGAAAUUAUCAGUAGUCCCACUGUUUGUGUGUUAUGCUUGAUAACUGAUACCUCCCACAUAUGCUACUUCCACUAAAAACCCCUGCAGUGAAUACCAUGAAUACCUCCUACAGACACGGUAUCCACUGUGUGUGAUGUGGUUAAUGCCGUAUGAUGUGUUUGGUAUUUGGUGUUUUAUUAGAGUCCACCAUUAGCUGUUGCAAGAGCAGCAGAUACUCUUCUCUUCGUGUUUUCAGUGUUGGGCGGACUGAGCUUUCAGCUCUAAAGGCUUUGAAGGAGCAGCUGUUUGAACACCUCAUUCGGGAAGACGACCCGGAGAAUAUGCUGGUGACGAACCACACACACUCACUGUUUCACAACUACCAGUAACCUCUGUUUAAACACCUCACCUCAUUCAGGAAGACGACCCGGAGAAUAUGCUGGUGACGAACCACACACACUCACUGUUUCACAACUACCAGUAACCUCUGUUUAAACACCUCACCUCAUUCAGGAAGACGACCCGGAGAAUAUGCUGGUGACAAACCACACACACUCCCUGUUUCACUCAUAUCACAACUACCAGUAACCUCUGUUUAAACACCUCACCUCAUUCAGGAAGACGACCCGGAGAAUAUGCUGGUGACGAACCACACACGCUCACUGUUUCACUCAUAUCACAACUACCAGUAACCUCUGUUUAAACACCUCACCUCAUUCAGGAAGACGACCCGGAGAAUAUGCUGGUGACGAACCACACACGCUCACUGUUUCACUCAUAUCACAACUACCAGUAACCUGCGUUCGUCCUCAGUAGUUUAGAAACAUUAUAUAGCCGGUUGACUAUUCAUCACCAUCUAGUGGCUAUAAAUGGCAACGGUAAAUAGUACCUAGCGGUCUCUUCAAAUCGUAAAUGUUCCCAAUGGACAAUGAAUGGUGUGUCAACAUCAAAUUGUGUUUUAAUGGUCUCUUAUGUGUCUUUACGGCUCAGUAAAGCAACAACUUGAUCUCUCUCUCUAUGCAGUGAAGAUUGUCUGCGUUAUCAAUGUGAGGCUGUGCGGUAUCUAUCUGGUCCGACUGGUCUCUCUCUCACGUCUGAUCUCUCCGGGCCAGUUCCAUGGAGGCUGUGUUGAAACUGGGCCUGACCAGAAGAGUUAGGGCAGUGUCCUGGGGACCCCAAGGAAUGCACGUUCUGUUUCUUUGCCCUAGAGCUGAUUCAAACAACUCAUCAUCAUCAUCAUCAAGCUUGUAUCAUUUGAAUCAUCUGUGUAGUGCUAUGGUCAACAUGUGCACCCUUUGGGGUCCCCGGGACCAUGUUUGGGAAACGCUGGGUAAGGGUUAUGGGGUUUUAAGGUAGCAGUUUGAGGCUGACUGUGUUAUUGCUGCAUGGUCUCUUUGUAAUGGCUGCUUGGUCUCUCUGUAAUGGCUGCUUGGUCUCUCUGUAAUGGCUAUAUGGUCUCUCUGGAAUGGCUAUAUGGUCUCUCUGGAAUGGCUAUAUGGUCUCUCUGGAAUGGCUAUAUGGUCUCUCUGGAAUGGCUAUAUGGUCUCUCUGGAAUGGCUAUAUGGUCUCUCUGGAAUGGCUAUAUGGUCUCUCUGGAAUGGCUAUAUGGUCUCUCUGGAAUGGCUAUAUGGUCUCUCUGGAAUGGC